rnacentral:rRNA from 1 species
UACGUAGGGGGCUAGCGUUGUCCGGAAUCAUUGGGCGUAAAGAGCGUGUAGGCGGUUCGGUAAGUCGGCUGUGAAAGUCCAGGGCUCAACCCUGGGAUGCCGGUCGAUACUGCCGGACUAGAGUUCGGAAGAGGCGAGUGGAAUUCCCGGUGUAGCGGUGGAAUGCGCAGAUAUCAGGAGGAACACCAAUAGCGAAGGCAGCUCGCUGGGACGUUACUGACACUGAGGCGCGAAAGCGUGGGGAGCGAACAGG